ACUCCUGACCAACAACUCCCUGCGUGUGCACUCCUGACAAGUACCUUGUAACCCCCUGUGUGUGUAUCCUGAUAAGCCCAGAAGGCCACCGGAGCACACUGAUAUGAGACACUGAAGAAGCCCACCCAUGGGGUAUAAAAGAAGGACUCUCACAGCAGCAGUUAGACGUCUGUCUGACCUCCACAGACAAGCCGUUCUCCUCCCCCCUGGAAACUGCCAAACUGCCAUUCCUGCUCUGCCUUUGAGCCCAGGCUGUUAAGAAGCCUCUCUUUGAGUCAAGAGACCAAGCUCCUUGCCGCGGCGUAUUUUGACGACCUCUGCGUGUCUCUGGGUGGCCUGCCAAGGACUGAAACCCAUCAGCUCUCUGUGGCAAUCAUCUGUUGCUUCACCAUACCUGGAUAAAACCAUAAUCACAGGUACUUGUGAAAACAAUUGGUAACCUGCUCCUGCUAUGGUUGGAGGGAAAGAUGGUGAGCUCCAGAACAGGCGCCUGGUUUCAGUUGUCUUUAAAUCCCGAAGGCUAGCACACUAUUUGGAGUCACUGUAAGCCUCAAGACCGUGACAGGAUCAAUGAGGGUCAUCACUGACGGAGGUAUCGUGGUUUUAAAACAUAUCCGCAAAUUCUUUGACACUCCUCCCCUCAAGAGGUGGUUUUCUUUUCCUGCUUCUUUGCGUGACUGGUAAACUUUGAUUGGAUGCCAGACAUUCUGACUCUAUCUCAUUGGGUGCUGGAUAUUUUUGUCUCCCUAUAAAUAUUCUGGGACACAGUUAAGUUGUCUGAAAACAGUUUGAUCCUCUCAGGUCUUGCUUUGAAGAUGUGUUGGGUAGGACCAGGGCAGCACUGAGUCUAGAGAUCACUUCCCCCGCUGUGAAGAGAGAACCCUGGAGAUUCUUGGCAAAAAUGUCCUGCGUAAAGUCCAGGGGAAGACACACAGAUGGAUGCGCGCGUACACACAGGAUGUCCUGGGCCAGAGGAGCAGCAUCAGCUGGCCGCUUCGGUCACUUGUCACGCCCUUCUCUCUGGGGACUGCAUUGCCACCGCUAAAAGCACUUAUAAUUGUUUCUUUGAAAAUGGCCAUAUUCUCCAGAGAAGCUCUCAGGCAAGAAAUCUAAUUAUCUUGGAAUUAUUGAAUUCUCUGGGUUACCGUCUUCUAGGUAGGCAGACAGAGUCUUUAUUUCAUUUUUAGAAAGGUUGUUUGCUGUUACACAUAAUGGACUGUUUGUCCUCUUCCUCCCACCAUGGUUUGGAGAGAGCAGCAGUGGAAUUUAUCAAUCCCUCCUCUACACCUGGCCUUCAUCAAACCCUGCAAACAACCAACACUGUGUAGAAGCAUUUGGUAAAAAAAAAAAAAAAAAAAA